CUUUAUGUUAUUAUGCUACUAAAUAGAUGAACAAACUUUAUAUUCAAAGUAUUAGUGAAUCCUCUUAAGCCUCUGGGCCUCUUCAUUUGGAGUCACACUUGGCUAUUUAGCGUUCAGAAGUUUCCAAAGCCUCAAAAAGUAUUUAUUUAUUUAUUCAUUUUUUCAGGAAAAACAAUCUAUUAUAUUUUUUGUUCAAUUAUAUUUUUUGAUUCUUAUUUACCUCUCCUUGAACUGUCACCUUAUCGUGGUGGAGAGGUUUGAGUACCCGAAUGAUCCUGGGAGCUAUGUUGUCUGGGGCUAUAUGCUCCUGGUAGGGUCUCCCAAGGCAAACAGGUCCUUGGUGACGGGCCAGACUAAGAACAGUUCACAAACCCCUUAUGUCAAAAUUUGUAUCAAGGACCGUGGCGUCGCCCGGCAUGGCGCAGCCGGGGCCCCACCCUGGAGCCAGGCCCGGGGUUGGGGCUUGUAUGCGAGCGCCUGGUGGCCGGGCCUUCCCCCGUGGCUCACCACCUGCAGGAGGGAGCGUAAGGGGCCGGUGCAUAGUGGAUCGAGUGACAGUCGUAGGCGAGACCCUCGACGACCCGUUCUCUGGACACGGAAUCUGGCUUUAGGGACGUGGAAUGUCACCUCGUUGGCGGGGAAGGAGCCUGAGCUUGUGUGGGAAGUCGAGAGGUACCGACUAGAGAUAGUCAGGCUCACCUCAACACACAGCUUGGGCUCUGGAACCACACUUCUUGAGAGAGGCUGGACUCUCGACCACUCUGGAGUUGCCCAUGGUGAGAGGCGGAGGGCUGGAGUGGGUUUGCUAAUAGCCCCCCAGCUCAGCCGCCAUAUGUUGGAGUUCACCCCGGUGAACGAGAGGGUCGCUUCCCUGUGCCUUCGAGUCGGGGAUAGGUCUCUCACUGUCGUUUGUGCCUACGGGCCGAACGGCAGUGCGGACUACCCGGCCCUCUUGGAGUCUCUGGGAGGGGUACUGGAAAGUGCUCCGACUGGAGACUCCAUCGUUCUACUGGGGGACUUCAAC
rnacentral:lncRNA from 1 species